rnacentral:rRNA from 1 species
AAAGCUAUUUAGGUAGCGCCUCGUGAACUCAUCUUCGGGGGUAGAGCACUGUUUCGGCUAGGGGGUCAUCCCGACUUACCAACCCGAUGCAAACUACGAAUACCGAAGAAUGUUAUCACGGGAGACACACGGCGGGUGCUAACGUCCGUCGUGAAGAGGGAAACAACCCAGACCGCCAGCUAAGGUCCCAAAGUCAUGGUUAAGUGGGAAACGAUGUGGGAAGGCACAGACAGCCAGGAUGUUGGCUUAGAAGCAGCCAUCAUUUAAAGAAAGCGUAAUAGCUCACUGGUCGAGUCGGCCUGCGCGGAAGAUGUAACGGGGCUAAACCAUGCACCGAAGCUGCGGCAGCGACACUAUGUGUUGUUGGGUAGGGGAGCGUUCUGUAAGCCUGCGAAGGUGUGCUGUGAGGCAUGCUGGAGGUAUCAGAAGUGCGAAUGCUGACAUAAGUAACGAUAAAGCGGGUGAAAAGCCCGCUCGCCGGAAGACCAAGGGUUCCUGUCCAACGUUAAUCGGGGCAGGGUGAGUCGACCCCUAAGGCGAGGCCGAAAGGCGUAGUCGAUGGGAAACAGGUUAAUAUUCCUGUACUUGGUGUUACUGCGAAGGGGGGACGGAGAAGGCUAUGUUAGCCGGGCGACGGUUGUC